ensembl:snRNA U6 U6 spliceosomal RNA
UUUCUUCAGCAGAAGAUACACUAAAUUGGAAUGAUACAGAGAAGAUUAGCAUGGUUCUUAUAUGAGGAUGACACACAAAUUCCUGAAGUCUUUCAUGUUUUA